rnacentral:rRNA from 1 species
UACGGGGGGAGCAAGCGUUGUUCGGAUUUACUGGGCGUAAAGGGCGCGUAGGCGGCCAGCACAAGUCAGUUGUGAAAUCUCCGAGCUUAACUCGGAAAGGUCAACUGAUACUGUGCGGCUAGAGUGCGGAAGGGGCAACUGGAAUUCUCGGUGUAGCGGUGAAAUGCGUAGAUAUCGAGAGGAACACCUGCGGCGAAGGCGGGUUGCUGGGCCGACACUGACGCUGAUGCGCGAAGGCGUGGGGAGCGAACGGG